UACAUAGUUGCACAUUUUCACUAUGUACUCUCAAUAGGGGCUGUUUUCGCUGUAAUAGGAGGGUUUGUGCACUGAUUCCCACUAUUCUCAGGGUAUACACUCAACUCAACAUGAGCAAAAAUCCACUUCGUAAUCAUAUUUCUAGAAGUAAGCCUAAAAU